GACGAACGCUGGCGGCGUGCUUAACACAUGCAAGUCGAACGGAAAGGCCCUGCUUUUGUGGGGUGCUCGAGUGGCGAACGGGUGAGUAACACGUGAGUAACCUGCCCUUGACUUUGGGAUAACUUCAGGAAACUGGGGCUAAUACCGGAUAGGAGCUCCUGCUGCAUGGUGGGGGUUGGAAAGUUUCGGCGGUUGGGGUUGGACUCGCGGCUUAUCAGCUUGUUGGUGGGGUAGUGGCUUACCAAGGCUUUGACGGGUAGCCGGCCUGAGAGGGUGACCGGCCCCAGUGGGCUUCGGGAGGGACCAGGAGGCCAACGGGCGCAAGGGGCGGAAAAAUUACGAAACAGGGCGGAGUCAGGGAGGAACAUCUCCGGAUCGUGAAUGUCGGCUUUCGGGUAAGAACCAGUUUGCACCUAUCUCGACGCGUGGUGACGGUAAAUGGUUAAAAAGCCACGGCUAACCACGGU
rnacentral:rRNA from 1 species